CAGUCGCCACGGUAAUACGGAGGGUGCAAGCGUUAAUCGGAAUUACUGGGCGUAAAGCGCACGCAGGCGGUCUGACAAGUCAGAUGUGAAAUCCCCGGGCUUAACCUGGGAACUGCAUUUGAAACUGUCAGGCUGGAGUCUUGUAGAGGGGGGUGGAAUUCCAGGUGUAGCGGUGAAAUGCGUAGAGAUCUGGAGGAAUACCGGUGGCGAAGGCGGCCCCCUGGACAAAGACUGACGCUCAGGUGCGAAAGCGUGGGGAGCAAACAGGAUUAGAUACCCGAGUAGUCCCUGUCUCUUAUAA
rnacentral:rRNA from 1 species